rnacentral:rRNA from 1 species
GACGAACGCUGGCGGCGUGCUUAACACAUGCAAGUCGAACGGAAAGGCCCUGCUUGCAGGGUACUCGAGUGGCGAACGGGUGAGUAACACGUGGGUGAUCUGCCCUGCACUUCGGGAUAAGCCUGGGAAACUGGGUCUAAUACCGGAUAGGAGCCAUUUUUAGUGUGAUGGUUGGAAAGUUUUUUCGGUGUAGGAUGAGCUCGCGGCCUAUCAGCUUGUUGGUGGGGUAAUGGCCUACCAAGGCGGCGACGGGUAGCCGGCCUGAGAGGGUGGACGGCCACAUUGGGACUGAGAUACGGCCCAGACUCCUACGGGAGGCAGCAGUGGGGAAUAUUGCACAAUGGGCGCAAGCCUGAUGCAGCGACGCCGCGUGGGGGAUGACGGCCUUCGGGUUGUAAACUCCUUUCGCUAGAGACGAAGCUUUUGUGACGGUACCUAGAUAAGAAGCACCGGCUAACUACGUG